AUAGAGCAAAAUUUCAAAGUUUAUGCUCAUUAUUGUUGAUUGUUGUUGAAUAUAUUUUAGAAAAAGGAUCCUCAUGUUUUCAUUCUUGAAGGUAGUAAGGAAAAGAGCUAGGUACUUAUGACUCAGAAGAUGAAAGUGUAAGCUUUGUAAGAAAGAAAGGCCAUUAUAUAAGGGAUUGUAUUCUCUUUAAAGAAUGGAUUGAAAAGAAAAAAAAAUUUAGGGACAU
rnacentral:lncRNA from 1 species